rnacentral:lncRNA from 13 species
GAGUUGUUCUGUGAGAAAGAAUGACAUUGGAGUGGUGACCAGUGGACCUGGGCUCGUUUCUCAAGCAUUAAUUUGGUUUCUUUACACUUCUCAGGGGCACUUGCCAUGGGGGCCUGCAGUCUGCUGGCAAGGAAGAUAGUCGAUUUUUCCAAGCAAUGCAGGCCCCAUGGAGUCCUGGAUUUGGUGUGACCUAGCAGCCACAGUGCACCCCGUGCUGGUGGACAGCUCAAUACGGACACAUUGUCAUGAGAAGUCCACCGCUUGCUGCCAAGGAAGUUGGGCAAUUCUUCUGACCAACAGAGGCCACGUUGAGUCCUUGAUUCCAUGUGUCCUGACAUCUACAGUGCCCCCCAUGCUGGUGUGUGGCUCAGGAUGGAGCAGUUGCUGUGGAAGGCCCUGUCUACUGGCAAGGAAGAUGGUUAAUUCUUCCAAGCAAUGAAGGCCCCACCGAGUCCUGGUUUUGGUGUGGCCUGGCCUCCAUGGUGCGCCCCAUGCUGGUGGACAACUCAAUAUGGUAAGCAUUCCUCUGACCCUCAUCAUGAGUGCUGGGUGUCUUUUGGAUUUUUGAGACCCACAAGGAGCAGUUCCUAAGCAGGCCAUUAAGGGCACGGCCGAGGUCUUUAAGGUCAUGGGCUUGCCCACUGCCCAGCCUGUCGCCUGUCGUGCCAUAUGCCCUGCCUCUUCCAAUGUGCUUGGAUCAAUGAUGAGUCCUCCCAAAAAAACAUUCCUUGGAAAAGCUGAACAAAAUGAGUGAAAACUCAUACCGUCGCUCUCAUCGGAACUGAGGUCCAGCACAUUGAAGAGAAUUAAGUGCUGAUCAUUGGACCUGGGCCCAUUUCUCAGGCGCAUAUUUGAUUUCUUUACACUUCUCAGGAGCAGUUGUCGUGACAGGUCCAUUGCUUGCUGGCAAGGAAGAUGGGCAGUUCUUCUGACCAACAGAGGC